UGCGCAAAAGUGCGCAUCCCCAGGACGAGGCUGGCCAAGAAGGGCCCUGAAUGCCAGGCUGCGGCGGUGGCCGACCCCCGAUAUCCACUCUCCCUCCCCCAGUAACCACACGGCGGCUUGGAAUACAGACUACAUUUCCCAGCCUCCCUUCUGUCUGGGGGUCAUGUGACUAAUGUGGCCAAUAGGGUGCGAGCAAAAGUAUAGCGGGUUCAGGGAGGUUCCUGUAAAGGGCGGUGGUGUGCCCUCUCCUCUACCUGCUCCCCUAUUCCAUUGGCCGGAAGGUGAUCAUGGAAAACAGCCCAGGAAUGAUGGAACAAGACAGAAAGAAUGUGUGUGCCUGAUGCCGAGAGGCGCCAGCCACUGGAUGCUUUUAUGUGUGAAUUCUUCUAUGAGGGCCCUGUGGGAGGAGGACCCCAUCUCCCUGCUUAAAAGAGAACAGCUGUUUGUCCAUUGCUAAAAUGGUGUAAAAGCCACCGUUUCAUCACAUUCUAUGUAAAGAUGGGGAAACUGAGGCUCAGUGACAAGGUGGUGGCUUCACGUUGAGGAUAAAGAGGCCCCACAGUGCCUUGCGCGGAGGAGGAGGCAGGCAGCCACAGAGGGACCCCGCCACAGCCAGAGGCGUCCAGGGUUUUAGGAAUGGGAUUGAGGAUCGGGAGCACAAAAGAGGAGAAUUGAUGUUCGGCUUUUGACUGAAUAGGAUCCUGCAGUCUUCAGCCAGAUAAUGGUCUUGAAAGCCGGGCUUUGUUGAGAGAGGGGAAGGCUUUGUGCUGUGGAGAUCACCACCGCCACGUGAUUGAUGACGGUGAUUACAAGGCCAUGAUCUACUUGGGGGACCCUCCCGGCAUGUGACAGGAGACAUCCACAGCGAUUAGUCGGGGGCUGCACAGGAGCUGCUUGCUGGCUUCCAGGCGUGUCACGGCAGUGGGUUCUGAGCCAUCACUCUUCCUACGGUGGAUGAGGAGGCCCAGAUGCGCCUGGCAAAAUGAUGUACAAGAAAGACUCAUGCGUCUUGCUCCAAUUAAGAUGUUGGAAGAGAAGAGAGUCUAAUUGUCCCACAAUUACCUUUAUUUAUCAAACUCAGAAUGAAGUGUGAUUAUGAAGUGUCUCAGGAGAAGAGUGCAGAGUUGGGGAUGGUCCAGGCCCUGCCUGGCGUCCCAGCCGCUGCGGGGGAGGAAGGACAGCCACGGCGGCACCUGCGGACGGCCUCCCCAUGGAGGAAGCCAGGUAGAUGAGCAAGGUGAGUUCUGGCUCCCGCUGUGCCACCGGAUUGCAGGGGACUUUGUCCCUUCCCGCAGCAUCUGGGACAGACCUCCAGCAGAUUUUCCAUAAACGUUUGUUGAAUCGGUGGGUGACAGGUAAGGCGACUUAGGCUCAUGAGGGUUCAGUAAUUUACCCGAGGACACACAGUCAAUAAUUCUCAGAGCCACAAGUCAGUGUGUUUGACCCAGUGGAGUUCAAGUGCUUUGAAACACAGGACCAAGGAUAAGCCGAAGACGUUGGUUUAUCAUUGCAUGGUCACACACCCACAAUAGACCGAGGACCACUUGGAUGCAUCAGAAUAAACGUUCAGAAAGAAAAGAAUGAACGAACUGAUUAUAUGCCAGGCGCUGUUUUAUGCACCAGUGCUGCAGGUGUCCGUGAAACACCAUCUCUAAUUUCAAGAAACAGUCUAGUGGGGAGACAGAGCUGGCAAGGCAGUGUGACAUGUGCGGUAAAUGCAGAAUGUCCGGGUCCCGCAGGUGGUUGGACCAGGGUGGGGGCCAGGAAGAAUUUCCUGGAGUGUUUGACAUUUGGGAGCAGUCUCAAAGGAUGAGGGAGGGAUGGGAUAGAUAAGCCAAGGAGAAAAGCCUGUGCAAAGGCCCUGGGGGUGAAAAGGUUGACCCUGCCGGGCUGACCUGUCUGUGUGCAGGUGGGCACCGGAAGCUGUGGGAUGGGAAGUGGUGGCCCUGGGCUGGCCCCGGCCCUGCCUGCUGGGCCAGCCAUCCACUCUGAACUUGCAGACUCCGGAGGCCCCCGGCUGCUGCCACACCCUGCCAGCUCCCGUGGCACGAGAGAGGAGGAGGAAGCAAUCUUAGUUUGCUCAGUUUCCUGUGGUCCGUCCGUAAUCCCUGUGCUGGCUCCAAGGAGCAAUGGCUCAAGAUAGCUUUGCACAGCAGGAUGGAUGGCGGGCCACAGACGGGCUUUUCCGACCUGGGGCUCCUUUUGUAUCCGUGUGUUGGCUGCUGCCUGGCCACAGCCCGUGCAUGCCCAGCUGUGGCCGAGUGGGCAAGAACCGAGGGGGGCUGGCAUUUGUAGAGGACGGACUAGGAGCUACACACAGUCCUGGGGUCUUUCACACAUGGUCUUCUCACCGACUCCUCAUUGCAGCCUAGAGGUGGCGCUGUUAUCCCCAUUUUGUAGAUGAGAAGGCAAAUGCUCAGGGGGGUUAGGAAGCGGGGCCAAAGUUUGGACCAAGAUUGUCUUGGUCCACUGUGUCAGGACCA